rnacentral:rRNA from 1 species
GAUGAACGCUGGCGGCGUGCCUAAUACAUGCAAGUCGAGCGAACAGAUGAGGAGCUUGCUCCUCUGACGUUAGCGGCGGACGGGUGAGUAACACGUGGAUAACCUACCUAUAAGACUGGGAUAACUUCGGGAAACCGGAGCUAAUACCGGGUAAUAUAUUGAACCGCAUGGUUCAAUAGUGAAAGACGGUUUUGCUGUCACUUAUAGAUGGAUCCGCGCCGCAUUAGCUAGUUGGUAAGGUAACGGCUUACCAAGGCAACGAUGCGUAGCCGACCUGAGAGGGUGAUCGGCCACACUGGAACUGAGACACGGUCCAGACUCCUACGGGAGGCAGCAGUAGGGAAUCUUCCGCAAUGGGCGAAAGCCUGACGGAGCAACGCCGCGUGAGUGAUGAAGGUCUUCGGAUCGUAAAACUCUGUUAUUAGGGAAGAACAAAUGUGUAAGUAACUAUGCACGUCUUGACGGUACCUAAUCAGAAAGCCACGGCUAACUACGU